rnacentral:rRNA from 1 species
UUUUAUUUGAGAGUUUGAUCCUGGCUCAGGAUGAACGCUGGCGGCGUGCCUAACACAUGCAAGUUGAGCGAUUUACUUCGGUAAAGAGCGGCGGACGGGUGAGUAACGCGUGGGUAACCUACCCUGUACACACGGAUAACAUACCGAAAGGUAUGCUAAUACGGGAUAAUAUAUUUGAGAGGCAUCUCUUGAAUAUCAAAGGUGAGCCAGUACAGGAUGGACCCGCGUCUGAUUAGCUAGUUGGUAAGGUAACGGCUUACCAAGGCGACGAUCAGUAGCCGACCUGAGAGGGUGAUCGGCCACAUUGGAACUGAGACACGGUCCAAACUCCUACGGGAGGCAGCAGUGGGGAAUAUUGCACAAU